rnacentral:rRNA from 1 species
CAGUCGCCGCGGGAAUACGGAGGGGGCUAGCGUUGUUCGGAAUUACUGGGCGUAAAGCGCACGUAGGAGGCUUGGUAAGUUAGAGGUGAAAGCCCGGAGCUCAACUCCGGAAUUGCCUUUAAGACUGCCGAGCUAGUAGGUGAGAGAGGUAAGUGGAAUUCCGAGUGUAGAGGUGAAAUUCGUAGAUAUUCGGAAGAACACCAGUGGCGAAGGCGGCUUACUGGCUCAUUCUAGACGCUGAGGUGCGAAAGCGUGGGGAGCAAACAGGAUUAGAUACCCGCGUAGUCCCUGUCUCUUAUAC